CCUACGGGUGGCUGCAGCAAGGAAUUUUCCGCAAUGGGCGCAAGCCUGACGGAGCAACGCCGCGUGCGGGAGGACGCCUUUCGGGGUGUAAACCGCUGUUCGUGGGGACGAAGCACUGACGGUACCCACGGAGGAAGGCCCGGCUAACUACGUGCCAGCAGCCGCGGUAAUACGUAGGGGCCGAGCGUUGUCCGGAGUUACUGGGCGUAAAGCGUGCGCAGGCGGCGCGUUCUGCCCGGCGUGAAAGCCCCCGGCUCAACCGGGGAACGUCGUCG
rnacentral:rRNA from 1 species